CUCCUGUGAGCCACAUAUGCCGUGGCAGGGAGCCAGGCUCAAGAUGUCUUGAUGGUACCAUGUUGGCCACUUGUGGAGUAUCCUGAGGAACAGGAUCAAAAGGAAGGUCCUAUGAGGGCGUCAGAGAGUAGGCAGCCCACAUCCAGAAGAUUCGUCACGCAGAGACCCCCAUGAAAGCCGGAACGAAGUUCCACUCACUGAUGGCAUUGAUGGCUGCUUUACAACAGCAUAUGGAGUAUGACAUCUGACCUGACACCUAGCGCCCCAAAAAGGACAGGACAGGGGGCAGGGCACCUGCUGCUUCAGGGCAAAGCAGCAGGUGAGGGGGAAGAGGAAGGAAGAGUGCCAGCCAGACCCCGCUCCCCAUCCUUCCCUCCUGUGGGGUUUCUAGCUUGGGUCAGGCUGAGACAAGGAGAGGGAAGCAGACUGGAGCUGGCCGUGAGGCUGAAUUUUAUAGAAACAGCGCUGGACGUUUUCACACCUGAAAAUUACUCUUAAUUACAAAAGUUAACAGGAGAGCAAAGCCAUCUGUCUGAGAUGCUGAUAAGAGAAGGAAGGUGCAAUGGAGUUUGAAGGCCAUAGUAGAUGAAGACUCCUUUGUAAAUUGAUGACACCUUGGUCCCACUCCUCCAUCUUUGUGUCUGGAAUGUCCCACCCAAUACAGGAUCCUUUCUUUCCGCUGGAUAUGCGUUUUCCAGUCAAGCACCAUCCCUUUGGGAGCCGUCCCUCCCAGCAUCACAGGAGCUUGUUCCUGUGUUCCCGAUGGGGUUCACCUGGCCUCCCAGGGGUGGGCUCAUCUCCUGAGCUUGACCAAUCGGAGGACUCCACCCCCCUGACCUACCAAGAAAGAGUUGCCCCCAACUGUGUUUUGUUAGAUUCUGUAUUUGCCUAUUUGGCAUCCAUCCAUCACAGGGCCAACUAUAUUAACUAUAUUUGCUUAUUUUCUGUAUUCUUGAUGCUCUACCCUUUGUGGCCUCGCUGACUGGGGAGAGACAGGGCCAGCUAAUUCCUAGUGAUGGUAAAUAACUUGCUUGCAGACACGCCUUGCACAUGCAUCCAAGCAGUCCAAGCCCAUACUCAACCGCCCCCUUCACCUAACUCCCUCCCACCACACCUGGAAUCACCCAGGGCGGACGCCAGAAAUCCAGGCACAGCCCGACACCCCAGAGCCACCGGGAUUAUUCCCACUAGCCAGUGCCCAGCUGUCACCCUGCCCCACCUCGCCUGUGCCCUGGAAACCCACGAAGGCUCUGGCUAGACUUCCCCUCCCUUUGCUGCUUCUGCCUCCUGAUGGAAAUUGGUGCUUCCCUGCGCGGCAGGACACGCCCCUCCUCUCAGGAGCUGGAAUGUGAAAUGGUGAGGAUGUGGUCCAGGCCGAUCUUGGUGAUGGAGGCGCCUCUCCUCGGACCAGCCUGUGCUGAGAAGUCUUUCCCUUCACACUCCCCGGCCCUCCACGGCCCCUCUCUCCAACUCACUUCAUUGGCACCAAGCUUGUGCCACACAUGGGUCCUUCUCUCUCAAGGAGCUAGUCUUACCUGAGCAAGGGACCAAGGUCGCUGGUCCAGGCAGUCUUGCUCAGUGGUUAAGGGCGUGGACACCCACACUGAGUCCUAAUCCUGUCUCUACCUCCUGCUUGCUUGGUAGUCUUGAAAAUGGAGCUUCAACUCCACAAGCCUCGGUCCACUUGUAAACGAAGUGGAGACGGCAGCAUCUGCCUCAAUGUUUGCUGCAACAUUGCAUGUUGUAUCUGAGACACUGUGAGCGCUCGUAAAGGGUGAGUGACAGUGGUAAGGACUGUCAUCUUCGUCAUUUUCUCCUCCAUCCUCGCCCUCCUCAUCCUCAGGCGCUGUCCUGCCAUCUCCGUCUCUACAGGCUCUCACCAAACAGAGCCCGUCGCAGAGGGAACUGCUAGUGGUGUCCACGGGGUGAAAUGCAUCCGGUCCCCAAGCCUAGAUCCCUGCAGAGAUGUUGGCCCCAUAGUCACACCACUGACCUGCACGGCACACUUUUUCUCAAAGGCCUAAGAAUUCUAGGUGACUUGGUGAUGUCCGAGUGAUGGGCAUCUGACCAAUGGCAACCUGACGGCGGGAGAACCACCACGGCCGGGCUGGGUCUAAACACUGACUCUUCCCAUUUAUUCCCCAGGUCCUAGGAGACAUUCCAGAGAGGCCAAGGCUGGGAGGCAAAACCCAUUUUGAUCCAUGACAAUAGCAGACAACUGGAAACCUUACUUUAGGGUGGAAGGGUCUUCCAGAUGCCCCUCAAAUCAACAAGGAGUGUUCCAGCAUCGUGGGAGGUCCAUCAGCCCAUAGGGCAAGUCCUUCCAUCCUCGGUGAUAGGGAUGCAACAGCAAUUCCAGCUGACACUUAUUGAACGCUGGCUGCACACAGCUCCACGCACUGUCGUGUACUAACUCGCUUCAUCUCCAUGAGUGACUGCUGCUGUUGUCCCCAUGUUAUUGACGAGAAAGCUUAGGCAGAAGGGAUUACAUCUUUGGGACAACCGAGAAGAGCGGGGCAGAGCCUCGGCCCGGCCAGCCCGCCCUGGAGCCCACGUCUCCGGCCGUUGGACAGCUCCAGCCGUCACAACGUUCUUCACCGUCUUGAAGUAAAAUCUCCUGGAACUUGUGCCCCUCAGUCCUGGUUCUGCAUUUGGGGGUCUCCCUGCUGAAGCCAGCUCCUCUCCAGCAAGAUGGCCCUGCAGGUGGGCGCCUUCAGCUCCAAGUGUCCCCACCCCAGCUCCUCAGCUCCAGACUGAAAAUGCCAUUAACUGUGGCUCGUGGGCCAUGACGUCAGGAGCCCCCUCCACCCUGGACGCCCUUGUCUGAGCUCCCCUGCAUGUGAAGCCCCCUCGACAGGGGCAGCUGAGAGCAGGAGCCCCGAAGAAGCUCUGACAGCAGCAGGGGGAGCACCAUCUCCAACCUUCCUGGAUCUGUGGUCUAGUCAGGAAUUCUUGGCUACACGGUUCUCAACGUCAUGUGCUCCAGAAUCUUCUAGGUCGAAGCUGCAGACCCGCAGACCCCCCAUCUGACACCCAGCAUUAGGAAGAUAUGGUGAACCCAGAACCUGCAUUUGGAAAAAAAGCCACAAGGCGUUUCUAAGUGGAAAAGGUGGAUGUCUCUCAACUCUACCUUGAGAAACCCAGCCUGAGGUCCCAGCACCUCCCUGGCCACCACCCUCAUGUGAGGGUCAACUCAAACCCCCAGUGUCCUCUCUGCAGGCUGGGGGACCCCCGCCUCCAGCCAUGCUCCCACCUCCGGCCUUGGCAGCUGAGGCCCCCAGCCCAGGACCAUCACGGGGCCAUUGGAAAGCCCGGGGCAGAGGGUAUCCGGCUUCCUCAGCAAAAGCACGCUCCCUCUGCCCCAGCCCCCUUCUCCUUAUUUCUUCCUUCACACCACGCUCAUGCCCACCGCAGGGCCUUAGCACCUGCUAGUCUCUUCCCGAGCUCUCCCUGCGGUUGGUGCCUCUCCCCACCUCCUCACUGAGGCCUUGUCUGACCAUUCCACCUGCAGUUGACCCCUCUCCAGCACAUGACUCUGCUCCAUUUUCUCACAGCACUGAAAUGCCCUGCAUGUUGUCUGCCUCCACUAUAAAGGAAGCCCGUGUCUCUUGUUCCUCUCUGUGCCUCAGUUUCCAUAGCUGUAAAAUGGGAAUAAUGUUACCUCACGGGGCUGCUGGGAUGAUCAAAGUCCACAUACACAUAACACUCAGAACAGCACAUGGCACCCUAGGAAGCACCGUUCAAGUAGGGGUUCGUUAUGUGUAUUAAUAUCGUCGUUCAUUGCUUCGUUCCCAGCAUCUGGAACUGUACCUCCCGCACAGAAGGCACCCGAUACAUAUUUUUGAAUGAACAUAGGAAUGGACAGAUGAGCCGAGACACAGAGGGUCUGAGCAGUCCCACCCUGUCUGCCUCCCGAGACCAGGCCACCCCUCCUCACGGGCUGUAAUUACCCGAU
ensembl:lncRNA